GAUGAACGCUGGCGGCGUGCCUAAUACAUGCAAGUCGAGCGAACGGACGAGAAGCUUGCUUCUCUGAUGUUAGCGGCGGACGGGUGAGUAACACGUGGAUAACCUACCUAUAAGACUGGGAUAACUUCGGGAAACCGUAGCUAAUACCGGAUAAUAUUUUGAACCGCAUGGUUCAAAAGUGAAAGACGGUCUUGCUGUCACUUAUAGAUGGAUCCGCGCUGCAUUAGCUAGUUGGUAAGGUAACGGCUUACCAAGGCAACGAUGCAUAGCCGACCUGAGAGGGUGAUCGGCCACACUGGAACUGAGACACGGUCCAGACUCCUACGGGAGGCAGCAGUAGGGAAUCUUCCGCAAUGGGCGAAAGCCUGACGGAGCAACGCCGCGUGAGUGAUGAAGGUCUUCGGAUCGUAAAACUCUGUUAUUAGGGAAGAACAUAUGUGUAAGUAACUGUGCACAUCUUGACGGUACCUAAUCAGAAAGCCGCGGCUAACUACGU
rnacentral:rRNA from 1 species